UUCAUUAUAUAUAUAUAUAUAUAUAUUUUUUUUGUAACUGAGUAGUUCAUUAUAUUUCUAUAAAAUAAAUGAAACUAAAAUAUAAAACAGUAUAAACAUACUUGGAACACUCCAUAUUAUUGGCAUAUCUACUGUAGAUAGCAGUUCUUUAGUUUUUGUUCAUAAUAUAGAACCACUAGUGGUUCUUUAUUAAAUUAUUAUUUUAAAAGCAGUCUAAUUUUAACUAGAAACAAAAUAGUGAACGGAUAAGAGAAGGUGGUGCAUCUGUUUGGGGUGGGUGAUCCACUUUUUAUAUGCUCUCCAUUCCUAGCCUCAAUAUGAACUGCUAGCAGUCUAUUAUUAUUUUAAAAAUUCGCUUAAUCUACUUUUGAACCGCUAGAUCCGCUAGAACAACUCUUGUUCCGUUCAAUCUACUUGUUCCGCUAGAUCUGCAACGCUUGAUCCACUUUUCUCAUUCAAAACUUAAUUGUUGAACUGCUUGUGCUUAUUAAUUAUCAUGAAUGGAUAGGAACGUGGUGGAGGAUCCACUCAGGUGGGAGAACCACCUAAUUUACGCAUUCCAUUCGAACACUUAUAUUAGUUUCAACUUCCAAGUAUUUUUUUUUUCCUAAUUUCUCUUUUGGUUUCAUCAAACAUUACAAGAAUAUAAUUAAAUUCUGACAUAAGAAAAUGUGUAGACGUACUUAAAGAAUCAAUCAGUCAUAUCAUCUUACAGCCAUCAUAAAUAUGUGUUGACUAUGAAGAUUUAUAGGGUCACUUUCUCAUCCAUUAGAAUCGCCACCUCCAUUUUUGGUGUUCCUUAGCAGAUCAUUUUUUUUUCAUAUUUUCUCAAUUUUGAAUAAAGAAGAAUCAUGUUUAUUGUAUUAUUUUUAUUACUAUGUUAUACCAUGUUUAUAUUCUCCUACUAUUCUAAAAUAUAUCUGAUAAUUGGAUUUGGAUUUUAAUUUUUAUGAUUUUGAUCAAAAUGAUAUUAAACAACUUCUGGAGCCAAAAGCUAACAGAUUUAAAUUCAAUUCCUAAGAAACAAACUACAGCAACAAGGCUAUCUUAAUUAAACCAGAAAACAUAUGAAAGACUAAAAAUCAAAACAAGGGGCGAAGGCAGACUGAUAGAUGUGGGGCAUGUGCACCCAUAAUAAUUUUACUAUUUAUAAAUUCUAUACAAAAUCAUUAAAACUUUGGUGUAAGAGAUGACAAAAUUCCACCUUUGCACUUGUAAUAAUUCAAGUUUGAUGCCUUAUUAUAUUUUUUGUUAUAUCCUUUUAGCACUAGUGCACCCAUUACAUUUAUAUUCGAGCUUCGUCAACACCCCAGGAUUAGAGAUGCCAACAAGUAGAAGAGAUGGAGACAAUGUCGAAAUUUACUGUGGUUGAGGCCCGAAACUCAUUAUAUUUCUCCAACAACUAAGAGGAGCCACGAGCAGUCCGUAUGGAUACAAACAAGGGACACGAGGAUAAGAACCUGAUUUGACCUAGCGUCUACUACGACACGGAGCAAGGAGAACUGAAGCUCUGAAUCAUGUGACUUUAGCCGGAGAAUCUGAGCGAAGGAAAAGAUAACCACACAGUCAUCGAAGAGACCCGGUUUUAUAAUCGAUAUUUUCACCUACACCUAUGAAUUAAAAUUUAACCAAUGAUAUUAAACUCUAAUAUUGUUAUAAUCGAUAGAAGCAGAUAAUUUAGAUAAAAAUAUGAAUAAAGGUAACAGAAAAAACAACACAAAAAUCUACUGUGGCUUACCAAUUUGAAAAUAUCUAGAGAUAAAUUUCUUAUUUUUACUAAAAUCUAAUUUUUAAAUUACAUCAAAACUAUAAAACAGAAAAAUAAAAAAAGUUUAUCGCAUCAAAGAAUAUAAAAUUGUGACAAUAAGCAUGAUAAAGACAUUUUCUCUUGUAAAAAAAUAUAGAACCAAUAUUUUAUUUUGCAAUAUAAUCUGGGAUACAAGUUCUAUAAAAAUCAUUAGUAAUUACUUUGGAAAAUAAUAUAUUUCCCUCACAAAAAAUAACAAAUUAAUUCUUCAGUCAUUUUCAAUAUAAACUUUCAAAAUUUCAGUUUCAAGGAUUAGUUUUUGUUUUGACACAACUGAAAGGAUUAUUUUGUGAUGAGCCACAGAGUGUUCAUUUGAAAAUACCAAACAGCUUUUGCUUAUUUUAAAGACACAAAUGUUGAUUUUUUUUCUAAUACUAAAAUCUUUGGAAAGAGGGACUCAAUACCUACUGGAAAACUUGAUUUUCCCCCUAAAAUUUGAUUUUUUCCUAAUUAAUUAUUUUGUUAUUAAUUGACCAAAUUUUUAUUGCAUUUUUGGAAACAUUGAAACAAAUUCUUCUUUUAUAUUGGUCAACAUUAUAAAUUUAUUGAAACUUUUCAACUUUCUUUUAAAAAAAUUGGGCCAAUAUUUUUCCAUCCCAAUCAACUUUAUAAAACUGUAAACAUGUUAUCUCCAAUAAAAUUAUUUUAAAAUAUUUGUUUUAUAUACCAAAAGAGCAAUUUAGUAAACAUAAAAUAAUUGAAUAUAAAAUAUAAAUAUCAGUAGCUAUGUACAGUAAAACCUCUAUAAAUUAAUAAUGUCUAAACUUUGGAAUUUUAUUAAUUUAUAGAGUUAUUAAUUUACAAAAAAUUUCUUAUUUAAAUUUAUUAUUUUAAGAUAUAUUUAUUCUAAGAGAAUAACUUAGUAAAUAAAUACGUUUGAGUUUGCAGCAUGUGGUACUUCUGAUUAUGAUGGUAUCACAACAGGAUCACCAUUAUCCAUGUAAUUAUAUUUCUCAUCACAUCCUCUUUCUAUUGAAAUCAUGUUCGUUCUUUGAGUUAUUCAAUCGAGACCAUAAUAAAGUUUAUUCAGUGAUGCAUGACCCUCUUUUGGGUUUAACCCUCUCAUGCAGCUACUAAUCAUAAUGAUUCAAACACUGUCCGUAUUUAAUGUUGAACCCAUUUGAGUCUCUUUUUUUUUCGCUAACAAACCCAUUUGAGUCGCUCUCUCUUCCUCUCUCAGAUAUGACAGGAAAAACAACAAAGGAGUAGUGAAAUGCUACUUCCCGUGGUUGAUGUUUGGUUACGGACUUGGACUAUUCUUAACAUACUUGGGAGUUGGGACUAUAUAUAUUAUGAACGGACACGGUCAACCUGCACUGCUCUAAUCUAGUGCCUUGCACUGUUCAGGUGACCAAAGAACUAAAUGGCUAAAAGGAGAGGCUAAUCUUAUAUCAACAAUUCGAGAUAACUCAGGUUUUAAUGUGAUUAUGUGAAGAACAGUUUUUUUCUACUCCAAGGUUUUUAGACUUUAGUAACAUCAUAGGCUUUUUAAAAUCGGAUUUUUGUUUUAGAUUUUAAUGUGAAACUUAAAUACAAGUUGACCAGAAAAAAUCUUUAAUACACGUAGGAUAGAGUGGAACGUGAGGUGUUUGAACAUUUUUACAGUGGGUAAUAAAUUAUUUUGGUGCACUAAAAAUAAAUUCAAUAAAAAGUAAUAUAUUUAUGUUUCCAACGGCUAGUAUUUUAUUGGAUUGUGGUAAGCAACGGCACAAUGUUGGGAGUGUUGCAAAAAUGGACAUUGGGAGUGUUGCAAAAAAAAGAAAACUGGGGUCUAUUUAUAUUUGUUAUCAGAGAGGAUGAAUCAAUUAUUUCAUUUCUCUUCCUUCUUCAGAUUAUUUCUCCGAUUACUUGCGACAAAGAAAAGAUUUAGCCGGAGGUGGAGUGCUUCAGCUUUUAGAGAAGAGUUCGUACGGUUUAAUGUUGAUCACAUCAGUGACAACUAACUCCAGUCAUCGGCGGGAUAAAGAGUUGCUUGAAAAGGAGACGAUUUCCAUGGAAACAGAGUCUACACGGACGGUACGUUUCUCUUUUAUUGAAACUUUUUUAAAUAGAAACAAAAUGUUUUUUUUUACUAACCAUGAACUGUUUUGUAAAUUUUGUUUUCACUGCAAUUUUUUUUAAAAAAAACUUUCAAACUUGGGGAAAAUUUCUAUAUUAUUUGGUUGAUAAUGAAAACUUAAUGUGUAAUUUGUGAAAAGUAUUAGGAGUUACAUCCGGUUAGUGAUAGUUAGAGAUUGUAUAUUUCUAACAUCCGGUUAGCGAUUGUAUAUUUCUUUUGUCUUGGCACUUAUGAGCAUUUAGUUCUUCGUAAUCAAUCUCCUAAUGAAGCAAUUUUCCCUCUUGUUUUGUGUGUAGAUUCUUUCUUACUUGCUUUUAUGUUUUUGUUUCCUUUGAUCCUUUUGUUUGUUUUAACUUUUUUCUUGUAUUUGUUUCUUUUAUUGGCUAAGAGACAAAUCUGCUAGUGGAAAGGCGAAUGAUGUUAAUAAUGCAAAGAAGAUCAAAGCUUAUAUGGACAAAGUCUACACGGGUACGUACGCUCCUCUUUUCUCAAACUUUUUUUAAAUAACCAUAAACUGAUUUUGUAAAGUUAUUUUCACUACAAUAUUAAAAAAAAACUUUCAAACUUGGGGGAAAAUGUAUAUAUUAUUUGGUUGAUAAUGAAAACUUAAUGUGUAAUUUGUGAAAAGUAUUAGAAGUAACAUCCGGUCAGUGAUAGUUAGCGAUUGUAUAUUUCUAACAUCCGGUUAGCGAUUGUAUAUUUCUUUUGUCUUGGCACUUAUGAUCAUUUAGUUCUUCGUAAUCAAUCUCCUAAUGAAGCAAUUUUCCCUCUUGUUUUUUUCCUAAAAUCAACAUCACAUUUGCUUUCUUGUUUUGUGUUUCUUACUUGCUUUUAUGUUUAUGAUUCCUUUCAUUUUUCUGCUUCUGUUAACUUUCUUCUUGUGCUUGUUGCUUUUACUGGAUAAGAGAGAAAUCUGCUAGUGGAAAAGCGAAUGAUGUUAAUAAUAUAAAGAGGAUCAAAGCUUAUAUGGACAAGGUUGAGCUAUAGAGCAUUCAAACAUAUGUGUUGAUAGUGUUGGAUGAGCAUCUCUCAUCCCCUCUGCUUCCGAGACCAUCAAUCAUCUUCUUUAGCAAGAUGUAAGCUAUAACAAUGCUCACUUAAAAGAUUACUUACAUGUUUCUGAAGAUUUGUUUGGUUCGUUUUGCAGGAAAGGUAACACUAUUACCGCUAUCUUGCAUAAGAAGCCACUGAUCAUAGUCUUUGAAAGCCUAUGAGAUUGUCACUACGGCUGAGGCUAAACUUCCUCCUACACAUCCUGUCAGAUUGGGGUUGGCCUUGAACUUCUCUGUCCUCUACUACGAGAUUAUGAGCUCACCUUAAAGGUUUUUAGAGAUUGUUUAGUUACUAAAAAGUAAACCUUAGAAGACUCAAUAUAUUGUUUUUAAUUCAAAAAAAAUAAUAUAUAUAUAUAUAUAUAUAUAUUAUUUGACCUUGCGGUGAAUAAACAGUGAAAUGUAAAAUGUAGAGUUCCUUUGUUUCAUGUAUCAUUAUUAUUGUGUAUGCUGUACUCUGCUUUGACCGUUUGAGUGUUUUGCAUCAUCCUGAUGCAUGUCUCAGACACUGUUUUUCUUGUUUGUAAUUUGAAACUCAUUGCUGUCUUUUGUCCACCCAAUUGCUCUACUUUCAGACCAUUUGUCAUGGAUCCAAAUAUAAAGUGAUAAUCAAGCUUGCAUUUCUUGAAAUCUUCUGAACAAUUUACUCAUUUAGCAAGCAGAGUCAAACUCCAAAAGAACAUGUUAAAAAAAUAAGAGAAAUAUGAAUAAUUUGUUGAACGAUGAUGAUGAUGAUGAUUAUGGUGAUGGUGGGCCUUUUUAUAUUUAAGCGAAUGAUGAUGAUGAUGAUAUGAGAGGAAGUGCUUUCAAAGAUUAUAAGCACUGUGAUUACAGAUUAGACAAGGGAUUAAGCAUUGUGAUUAGAGAUUACCUCAUUACUUGUCAAAGUUCCACGUAAAUAAAGAAUAGGACCCAAAUACAUUAUUUGAAACAGCAAGUUACGAAAGAUUAUGUGCCAGUUACAACAACAAGAGCAUACAAUGCCGCCACAAAGAAAUAUUGUUUCCUUGUGCUCAAAAUAAUCGACCGAGAAAGUACUUCUAUAAGAUUUCUAGUAACAAAGUUCUUGGUGCAAAAACAUAUGAUUGAUUUGACUCUUAUGUAUCUUCAUUUGAAAAUGAUACUGCUUAUGUUAUCUUCAUUUGAAAACGCUAUUUACCACCGAUCAUUGCAGCUACAAACUCCGUCUUUGAAGAGAUGGAACCGAUUAGCAUCCCUCACUAAUAUCUCACGCCCUACUAUCUUCGAUAUCAGCUUCGUGACUUCAUGACAAUCACCACAGACACGAAGGUUCUUCAUCACUUGCAGUGGAGUCCCUGGUUCUGUGUUCAACAGUCCAAACGCUAUCGCUAGCCUCUCGCUGUGACCAUACUAAACGUCUCUUCUCUUCCUCUUCCUCUAGAUUCUGCGACACUUCCCGUGGAUCAGAAACAUACCCUUCUCUAGCCAUCAGACUGUAUAGCAUCUCCAACGACUCGUGUAUGGCUUCGAACUGAGGAGCUGAAACAUCUCCUGCGCGGAACAGAUGAACUUUUUUACUCACUUCAAUCCAGCUAUAUCCAGGGUUCUUCUUUCUUUCUUUGUCUUUCAAGGAUUUGCGGAUUAGGCACACUUUGUCCCACUUUUACGCGUUUGAUGCUAGAAUAGAGUAGCCUGGAUCAUCCGGGUUCAGUUCAACGAUCUUCUUAGACACUCUUUCCGCAGUCUCCAUGUCCCCGCUUGUUCGACAAGCUCUCAGCAGAUAUGCCCAUAUGCUAGCAUCAGGUUUUACCGGCAUUGCUUGAAUAUACUCCUCGGCUUUCGAAAUCUUCUGAGACCUGGACAGCAAAUCUACCACUUGGUGUUCAAGAUUUUUAUUUUUCUUUACAUUUUAAGAUUCUUUAUUAGUUUCAACUUCCAAGUUUUUUUUUUCCUAAUUUCUCUUGGUUUCAUCAAAUAAUCAUCAAACAUUACAAGAAUACAAUUAAAUUCUGACAUAAGAAAAUGUGUAGACGUAUUUAAAGAAUCUAUCAGUCAUAACUUCUUACAGCCAUCAUAAAUAUGUGUUGACUAUGAAGAUGUAUAGGGUCACUUUCUCAUCCACUGGAAUCGCCACCUCCAUUUUUGGUGUUCCUUAGCAGAUCUUUUUUUUUUCAUAUUUUCUCAAUUUUGAAUAAAGAAGAAUCAUGUUUAUUGUAUUAUUUUUAUUUACUAUGUUAUACCAUGUUUAUAUUCUCCUAUUAUUCUAAAAUAUAUCUGAUCAUUGGAUUUGAAUUUUAAUUUUUAUGAUUUUGAUCAAAAUGAUAGUAAACAACUUCUGGAGCCAAAAGCUAACAGAUUGAAAUUCAAUUCCUAAGAAACAACUACAGCAACAAGGCUAUCUUAAUUAAACCAGAAAACAUAUCAAAGACUAAAAAUUAACACAAGGGGCGAAGGCAGACUGAUAGAUGUGGGGGCAUGUACACCCAUAACAAUUUUACUAUUUAUAAAUUAUAUACAAAAUCAUUAAAACUUUGGUGUAAGAGAUGACAAAAUUCCACCUGUGCACUCGUAAUAAUUCAAGUUUGAUGCUUUAUUAUAUUUUUUGUUAUAUAUUUUUAGCACUAGUGCACCCAUUACAUUUAUAUUCGAGCUUCGCCAACUCCCCAAGAUUAGAGAUGCCAACAAGUAGAAGAGGUGGAGACAAUGUCGAAAUGUACUGUGGCUGAGGCCUGAAACUCAUUAUAUUUCUCCAACAACUAAGAGGAGCCACGAGCAGUCCGUAUGGAUACAAACAAGGGACACGAGGAUAAGAACCUGAUUUGACCUAGCGUCUACUACGACACGGAGCAAGGAGAACUGAAGCUCUGAAUCAUGUGACUUUAGCCGGAGAAUCUGAGCGAAGGCAAAGAUUACCACAGUCAUCGAAAAGGCCGAUUUUAUAAUCAAUAUUUUCACCUAUACCUAUGAAUUAAGAUUUAACCAAUGAUAUUAAACUCUAAUAUUGUUAUAAUCGAGAGAAGCAGAUAAUUUAGAUAAAAAUAUGAGUUCGCAACAAAAAAACAACACAAAAAUUUACUGUGGCUUAUCAAUUUGAAAAUAUCUAGAGAUAAAUUUCUUAUUUUUAUUAAAAUCUAAUUUUUAAAUUACAUCAAUACUAUAGAACCGAACAGCUUUUGCUUUGUUUUGACACAACUGAAAGAUUAUUUUGUGAUGAGCCACAGAGCGUGCAUUUGAAAAUACCAAACAGCUUUUGCUUAUUUCAAAGACACAAAUGUUGUUAGUAGACUGUGUCCAAGAGAGAGAGAGAGAGAGAGAGAAAUCAUGAGCUUCUGUAUAUGUUUUGUUUUAUUUGUCUUUCUAUCACUUAAUACUACUAGAAUAUUUGAUUUUCCCCCUAAAAUUUGAUUGUUUCCUAAUAAAUUAUUUUGUUAUUAAUUGACCAAAUUUUUAUUGCAUUUCUGGAAACAUUGAAAAAAAUUCUUCUUUUAUAUUGGUCAACAUUAUAAAUUUAUUGAAACUUUUCAACUUUCUUUUAAAAAAAUUGGGUCAAUAAUUUUCCAUCCCAAUCAACUUUAUAAAAUUUUAAACAUGUUAUCUCCAAUAAAAUUUAUUUUAAAAUAUUUAUUUUAUAUACCAAAAGAGCAAUUUAGUGAACAUAAAAUAAUUCAAUAUAAAAUAUAAAUAUCAGUAGCUAUGUACAGUAAAACAUCUAUAAAUUAAUAAUGUCAGGACUUUAGAAUUUUAUUAAUUUAUAGAGUUAUUAAUUUACAAAAGUUUUCUUAUUUAAAUUCAUUAUUUUUAAGAUAUAUUUAUUUUAAGAUAAGAAAAAUAUUUGAUUUUAGUGUAUAGACAUUAAUUGUUAUUUUUUUUGAAAUUUGACAUAUAUCUUAAUUUUAUUAUAUUAUUUGGUGUAUAUGAUAUAUAUUGCAUAGAACUUAAAUGUGGUUUAGAUAUAAUAUUACUAAAACUCAUCAAAAAUUUAUUAAGUGUUAAGAAAAUAUGUAUACAUAGAAAUUAUAUAAAAUAUGUAUACAUAUAAAAUAUUGUUUGCUUUAUGUACACAAUGGAAUUAGCUUUAUAUUUUCUUAACAUUUAAUAUUUUUUUGAUGAGAUUUAGUAAUAUUAUAUCUAAAAACAUAUUUAAAUUAUAUGAAAUAUAUAUUAUAUACACUAUAUAUUAUAAUAUAAUAUAAUAUAAUAAAAUUAAUGUAAAUGUCAAAUUUCAAAUAUAACAAUUAAUGUCUAUACAAUAAAAUAAAAUAUUUUUCUUAUUUAGAAUAAAUAUAUCUUAAAAUAAGAAAUCUAAAUAAAGAAACUUUUGUAAAUUAUUAUAUCUAUAAAUUAAUAAAAAUUUAAAGCCCGAACAUUAUUAAUUUAUAGAAGUUCUACUGUAUUUACAUAGAAUUUAAUUAAAAAAAUAUUAUUUUAUAGUUUAUCGAUUUGUGUCAAAUUUUGAACCGGCUCAAAUUUGGACCGGCAAAAUUUAUUAGUUUAUAGAAAAUAUUAAUUUAUCGAGUAUUAAUUUGUAGAGGUUAUACUGUAAUAUGUUACUUUCUUGUGUGUCAAAUAAUAUAGUGUGACAUGAGAGCAAAAAAAGGGAGAGGCUAUUCUUACAUCAAUAUCCCACGACGGAAUUUUCUCUCACAAAGAGGUUUGUGGCCUUCUCUAACUCUUGAAUAUAAGACAAAUAUAGUCCAACUUUGAUCAUAACUAGAAAAUAUAGAUUUAGGGUUUCUUCUAAAGAAAUAGAUCAAACCUUGUCCGUGGAGCGGGCUGGUUGUCAAACAGGUAACAGCAGAUCUUAAAACCCUAUAAAAAACAAAAGAGUAUUUCAAGAAAUAUCUGCAUAAGAAUAACAGUUGAAACAAACAUAAUUGGUGGCAAUAUACGAGCAAUUUCUUAAAAACAUCUGAGGCUGUUGUGCCCACAUGGUGUAUGGAAAGCCAUGUACAAGAAAGCCUUUGCAGUACUUAACUGUUAAUCAUCACAGUCAUGGAAUACAUAAUUUAGAAAGAAAAAUAUACAUGAAAUGUUAAAACUCAGAAAAUGAAAGAAACACAAAACUAAAACAUGAUUGCCGCUCUUACAGUUAACGACAUUAACUAAAAGCAAACUUUCUCAAAACUGAACAACCAAAUUAAGAUAAAUCGACAUUCAAACGAAGUGUACAAAACAUUGCCUAGCAUAAAGCUCAAUUUGCACAUAUAGUAGACAAUAAUUAAACAUAAUAUUAAUGCUUUUAUAUGAGCACAACAAAACAACCAUAUCCAACCGACAAUCUAGGAGAACCAUCACGUUGUCAUUAAAAUAAUCACAAUCGUAAGAGCAAGAAUGCAAGAUCCAAGAGUUUGAGAGAGAACAAACCGUGAUCGACCUUUCAGGAAGCUGGAGGCAGUGACAAUUGAGGUUUUCUGCGAAAAUAUCAUUACUGAGGUUUUCUUGGAGUGCAUCCAAUUCAACUGGACCAACAUGCACAUUAGCCUACUUCAAAUACACCUGCUCAGCAAAGCAUUCUGGGAUUUGAAGAUCUUCACCCGGUAAAAUUUAAGCAUUCAGCGGUUCGGAAAUGUCUACAUCUUACCGGAAGAAGAUCUCCAUAUCCCAUAACGCUAGGCUUAGCCGUCGCUGAAGCAGACAAAGGAGCAAGUUGGUCCAGCAACAGAAUGUCUCUAAAGAUAUACACCUUGGAGAUAUAUCCAAAAAAUAAAAUUUCAAAUGAUUUUGAGAAAAUAAAAAUCUUAAAAAUAUAAGAACAAUAGAAUCUCUACCUCGGUAAAUAUCUUGAUGCUUGAUCAAUGCAACUAUAUGUUUUGUUUUGUUUGUCUUGCCUUUACUUGAAUUUUGUUUUCUAAUACUAAAAUCUUUGGAAAGAGGAACUCAAUACUACAAGAAUAUUUGACCUUUUCCCCUAAAAAUUGAUAGUUUCCUAAUUAAUUAUUUUGUUAUUAAUUGGCCAAAUUUUUAUUGAAUAUUUGGAAUGAUUGAAAAAAAAAUCAUCUUUUUUAUUGGUCAACAUUAAAACUUUAUUGAAAACUUGCAAUUUUCUUUUUAACAAAUUGGGACAAUCUUUUUCCAUCACAAUCAACUUUAAGAAAUUGUUAACAUGUAAUCUCCAAUAAAAUGUACUUAAAAUUGAAUGAAAUAAAAAUAUACAUAAAAUGUUAAAGCUCAGCGAAUGAAAGAAAACCAAAACUAAAACAUGUUUUCCGUUCUUACAGUUAACGACAUUAAAUAAAGGCACACUUUUUUAAAUAUGAACUACCAAAUUAAGAUAGAUCGACAGUCAAACAAAGUGUACAAAACAUUGCCUACCUGAAGCUCAAUUGGCACAAUAGUAAGCAAAAAUGAAACCUAAUAUUAAUGCUUUUAUAAGCACAACAAAUACUGGUUCCAGAUAUAAAUUAAGGUUUUAAUGUGAUUUCACAAUAUUAAAUGAAAACAUUAAUACAACCAUAUCCAACAGCGAGAUUACAAUCUAGGAGAAUCACAAUUGGUACAUCAAGUUAUAAUCACAAGCAUAAGAGCAAGAUGAUCAGAGAGUUUAAGUGAAAACACACCAUGAGUGGGGAUUUGUGGUAUGAGAAAAAUGUUGAGAGAGAGAGAGAGAGAGAGAGAGAGAGAGAGAGAGAGAGAGAGAGAGAGAGAGAGAGGUGUUUCUCGAAUUUGUGAUGUGAGAAAGACAUAGAUGAGGGAUAUAUAUAUAUAUGCCGGUCUCUAAAAAUUUAAAGCUUUCAAAUUAAUUUGGGAAGAAAAUAAAAUAAAGAAAAUGUAAAGAGAUAAGACCAAUAAAAUCUUCCAAUCGGGUAAAUAUCUUGAUUUUUGACCAAUGACAACUGUAUGUUCAUUUUAUUUUUCCAUACUUUAUUUUGAAUUUUUUUCUAAAACUGAAAUCUUAGUUAAGGGGAAAAUAUGAAUACUGUAUUAGAAUAUUUUUAUUUUAUUGUUUUUAACAGAGAUAUUAAAAAUAAUUGUAAAGUUAAAUAUUUUCUUCUUAAUUUGAUUAAUUUUUUUAUUGUGUAUUUGGAAACUGUAUAUUUAUUUACUGGUCAACACGAAAAUCUAUUUCAAAAUUUCCAACUUUUUUAAAAGUCCUUUGCGGUGUAGAUUUGUUUCCAUCCUAGUCAACUUUUGAAAUUGUUAACAUAUUAUCUUUAGUACAAUGUUUUUUUUUUUAAAUGUUUCAUAUACCGUAAUGGUAGUUUAGUGAAAAUAAAUAUUAUAUUUAAAGUUACAUAUACAUGUUAGUUGUUAAUUUAAAUUAUGCUUACCUAGUUAUCUAUGAUGUGUAUGUACAUGCGUAUGCAAGUGCUUUGUUUUUAUUGCUUGCUAAAGAGUGGUGUUUUAAAUAAUAACGUCUAAGAAGUAAUUUUGAAAUUUGUCUUCAUGUAAAGAUAAUCUGUCGAAUUUUGGGGUGUUAAUCCACUACUCUAGAUAGAAAAGAAAUUCCAAAACAUUAAUCCUCCAACUCCAACGCCCCAUCACAAAAAGGACAUUGUGCAUUAUCCUCCAAAGCCUCAAGAUAUUAUGGUUUACACAAUGAAGAUAUCACAUGUUUGAUGAUCAUUAUUGUACCUGAAGUUUGCCAAGGUGCCAUGUUCCAUAUAUACUAACGACUUCUACCAACUGGUGAUUCUUAGAUUACGGACAUUUUCAUAUGUUCAUCUUUAUUCUGCCAUAAAUCCUCACCUCCCAUGUAACUGACGGUGUUUGCAACAAGCACUCCCUCAGUAUCUUGCAUAGAUGUAGUAUAGAAGUUACAUCAUCAUCCGAGAACCUCGAUGUUAACACCAUUCUCCGUGCACCUUCUCUAGCAUAUAUAACUGAGUGCAUAAACUUGACAUGGAGAGCAUUCAAAUGAAAGUUUCAUGGACUAAGGAUUAGCAGUACAACUUCUUAAAUCAUAUGUUUAUGAAAUGUAGUAAGUCACGAUUCCUGAUGUUAUUUCAUCAAUUCAGAUUUAUUUAGUCACAUGUCUAUAAAAUCUUUCUGGAGUGUCCUCCCUUAGAUUGUGAAUAUCAAGGAGAGGGCAACCGUUUCAUCACACCAAACCAUUGUUUAACUAGAUUGACAAUAACAAAUUUGAACAACUUUUAGCAUCAUUUCUAUUUUCUGUAUAACUAGAUUGUAAGCCUGUCGCAAAACUAAGAAGGGUAGAGAAACAAUCUUACAAUUACAUAUCCUUCUAGCAUUGACAAUGUGUUGAACACCUUGAUCUCUACUAGGAUAAACUUACCAAGUCAACAUUAAUAUUAAGCACUAGCUAGUUGCUCAAUUCAAGAUUUACUCAAACUAAAAUUCAGCCUUCCUUCAAAACGAUGAGAGGAUUUCAAUACCAAUCAUACUUGUUUCCUUCAAGAAUUGGGUUAAGAUAAUUUAAUCAUUGGAUCAACAUGACUAGUGCUAGUGAAGUGAUCACGUUCAUGCAAUCUAUUUGACUUUUAAUUUGAUGGCUUUUUUUUUGACAUCAAACUGUUAUUUUAAUACUCAAACAAGAUGUGGUCCGAAAAGACAUGUUUGAAUAAAACAACCAACAAAUCAAAUUUCCCGAUGGAAAGAUCUGAUAGUCUUGACUUUUUUUUUUGUUAUACAGUCCUAACUAGAAAAUCAGAAAUCGCAUUUUACCUUCAAAGAGUGUAAGAUAGCUUAAAUAAUUGAAAUCACUUUUGAAGAUUCUUUACUUCCCUCAGCUCAGUUGAGAAGUUUGUCCAUGCAUGAGGUUAUGUAAUCAUGGAGAACAUGUCCCUGUAGUCUGUUCCAAAAUUAUGACAAUUUGAGUAACUUAACAUACUAUCCAUCAUCCAAGAAAGUGCUGCUAACUCCGAGUGCAAUACAGACUCUCGUCGUCUUAAUUUCCUCGUCCCCAUUAAUUAAGUUUGUCCAGGCGUGUCUUUCUAAACCCAUCCAAAACCACUGAAUUGUAAAGUCUAUAAACCAUCAACCAAACAUAUGUAAUUUUAAAGAGUGUGUUAGGCAUGAUGCAUAUCAGCAUAUAUAUUUUUUCAGAUGCAAAUCCUUUGUUGGUUCUGCUGGUUGAUCAGUAGUCAAUCUUAUCUCCUCUGUCAUUGAAACCCUAGCCGUCAAGAGAGAAAGAGAGAAUUUUUUUUAGUUUCAAGUUGAUGGUCGGAUGCUUCUAUAUCUCCAACAUCGGCUUGUUUGAUUCGCUUUGCUUUUUUUUCUUUGACUUGCUUUACUUUCUAUCACUUGGUAUGUUUGAUUGCCAAUUUAUUUUAAAUCUGGCAAAAAAAAAAUAUUUUUCUUUUGUAUAUUUCUUCCAACGGAUUUGGUAAGACAAAAUAUUUCGGUUCAAUUGAACCGUUUAGAAAAGGUAAUUGACAGAUCUACUGCAGAUGGUGGCGACGAGUCUUACUGGCUUCAAUCGUUGAUGGUUCUUCAUUCGAUGGUGAUAAAGUUCUUGCUGCCAACUAUGGUUACUUCAAAACGCAGCAUGAAAUUUUAUGGAAUGGUAAUCUUUGUGCCUCUAUUAUUUUCAAUAGAGAAAUACAAAGAGUUGUCUUGUCUCGGUGAUUCUUACUGGAGUAUUAAAAAGAGAGUUCAAUUGUUCCCAAUUCAAUUUGAAGCGUGAUGUUUUUGGAUUAUUACGAAUAUUAUUUUCCUUGAGAUUCAACUAUUCCAGAAGCAAAUAUAUAACUUUUAUAUGAAAAAUAUUUAGUCAUCCACACGCAAGAUAGAUGUGUGUUAGUUUACUUUGGAUUCCUACUGGUGUAUCACUUUUUUAUAUUUGUUUUGCUAGUCUAGAAUUAUUCCAGAAGACUCAAUAAUUCAAUCAACAAAACAAGAAGAUCAGUAGUCUGUUCAUCAGAAAAUAUGGGAACUUAUUUUGGAUUUUUAUUGUGGUAAUACUAUUAUGUGCAUACAAUAGAAUAUUCAAAGAUAUUAGAAUAUUUUAUUUAAUUAAUUUGAAUUGUUUUCUCCAAAAUAAUUAUUUUAUUCUUAAAUUGGCCAAUUUUUUGUGUAUAUGGAAACUGUGAAUUUCUAUUAUUUUUGAAAGUCAACAAUAAAAUUAUAUUUUAAUUUUUAAAACUUUCUUAAAAAGGUUUUUAAUAUGUAUUUUUUUCAUCCGUGUCAAUUAUAUAUAAUUGUUACAUCUUAUCUCCAAUGAUUUUAUAUUUCAAAAAGAGUUGUUUAGUGAAAGUAAUGAUUAAAUUAAUUAUAUAUUAAAUUUUAAAUAAGUAUAUUUGUAAAAUUCGUAGAUAUAUCUUUUUAAAAUGAAUUAUGCUUAUAUGUGAUGUAUAUGGAUAUGCAUUUUCAUACAUAUGCAAAUUUGUUGUCUGUAUUUGCUGGCUGAACAGUUGUGUGUUUUGAUUAAAUUAGCAAAAGCAAAAGAGGCAUAAGAGCAGAAGACAGAAGAAUACAAAGAACAAGAUAUAAGAAGUUAAACGUUAUGUUACAAGAAGUUACAAAUCAAUAAGAAUAAGGGUUACUUGGUUAGAUUUAGCUAAACCCUAAAAAUGUGGUUAAGAAUAGCCAAUAGUUGUUAAGAGUUGUUUACAACUCAAGCAAGUUGUUUAGCUUUGCUUGUAAACUUAAUCUAGUGCCUAAAGUAUAGACAUGAACAAGUGGUAGUUAUUUACGCUAUAGGUUUAAGUGAGUGUGUUGCAAAUAGAAUAAAGCUGCUAUAUAUGUGUAUAUGUGUAAUGUUUUUUUAAAAAAUCCAAGAAAGAUAUCCAUAGAGAAAAGAUAGGUAGAAUGAAAUUCAGGAUCAAAUUUUUAACAUUCUUAUAACACCAAAUCUACCAAUGUAUGUUUCUUGCAUCUUUCAUUCCCAUGUGUAGGAGAGCUUGUUGUCAAUUGAUAUAAUAUUCUCAUACUUUCAAUCUCUCAUUUCCACCAUGGUAUCAAAGCUGAGUCAAACAUGGUAUAAAAGUAGAUUGUCAAAACGAUUGAUCAUAGGAUUAUAAAAGAUGGUAAUUGGUAAGUCAAGAAUCUCGAAGUUAUAUUAUCAUCUUAAACACAACUAAUAUUAAAUAAACCAACCAAAGUUAGGUAAUAGCGAUAAAUACAAACACAACUUAUAUUUCACUAAUGCAAGUUUAUUAGGUCACAUGGCUUUAAAAUAUCUAUGUAUCUUCUCCUAUAGAUUGUGAAUAUCAAGAGCAGCCUUAGCACUGCAGCCAACCCAUGCAAACAUUUGCAACAUAAGCAAAAAUUUAGGAAGUUUAAUGACUGCAUUCAAAUCAUUUACAAGGAUCUAAAUAUGAAGUUGACAAUAACAAAUUUGAAUAUUUAGCCCGACUAGAAGACAUCAUUUUUUUUAUGUAUAGAACCAUAACUACCAUAACUAAGAAGGAUAUAGAUAAAAAUAAAAAUUUGUCAUUCCUUGCAGCAUUGAUAAUGUCUUGAGCACAUUGACCUCUGCUGGAAUAAACUUACUAAGCCAAUAUUCUUAUUAAACAUGAAUUAUUCAGAUCAAGACAUACUUGUUUCGUUCAGGAACCAGGUUGGGUUAGUCACUGGACCAACAUGACUAGUACUAGUGACGUGAUCGGGCUGUCUCAUGCAACAUGUUAAUUUGCUUUAUAAAUUGAUGGUAUCUUGAAAGAGCGUGUUACGCAUGAUGCAUAUGUCAUUUUGAUACAAAUGCAAUGCUUUGUUGAUAAUAUCAUGAUAAACCUGAAAUAUAGACCUCUCUUUUUGUCAAUAAGAAAAUUUAAGUAGUUUAAAUUUUUUUACUGUGAUACUAUUCUACAACUCUUUUCAUUUAGAUUUUACUUUGCUAGAGAGAGGUUUAGCUAUACGGGUUUAUCAAGAUAUCACCUAACAUGAAAAUUGGAAAUAUUUUCCUAGCAAUUUCCACAUCAGCUCAUAGUGAUUAUUCUCCUCUUUAAUAGAAAUAAUACAUCAAAAUGAAAGAAAGACCCAUAAUUGAUAUCGUUUGUGCUUGAACGUACUACAACAAAAAUAAGCAGAAAAUGGAAAAAAUGGCAUACGAAUA